UCUGGUUGCAGUGGUACCAGAAAAUGCAUCAUAAGCUAUUUCUAGAUGAAGAGCGUGACCAAGAAUUUCCCGAUUUUCCAUCAUUUAUUCCAUUCUUACCUCCUCUGAGUGCAGCUAACCUAAAGGUCUACUAUGCCACACGUUUCACCAUCAUAGUUGGGAUAAUGGUGUUCGGUGGUUUUCUUGCACCAAUCUUAAACUUGGUCUAGGGGCACAUCUUAUGAAGACUCCAUCUGCAGCGUUCAUCUGUCGACGUAGUUGAGAAGUGCACUCAGGUUAUACAUCCAGUAAAGAGCAAGACAUUUGAAAGCUUAUGGGCCAACUGUGUUGCUAUUGAUGCAAGCGAAAGUUGGCUGAUGAAUUCUCUAUGCCUACUUCUAGAGUGAUGUUCAAAGAGGUUGACGCUCCUUCACCAUCCCCAGCUUUGUGGAAUGGGCCACAGGUAGCCAUUUAGGAUGACAAAGCCACAAGGGUGUCCUUCAUCAAGGCUAUGCUAGAAGCCUCAGACUUGUGUCUGAGGAAAAUUCAUAAAAAUGGUACACAGAAGCUGGGAAGAAAGUGGAAGAGGAAUUUAGCACUUGCCCUCUGUCAGUCCUAAUGAUGAGCGUUAAGAACAACACCAAGAUACUGAAAGCAAACAUGGCUUGUUCAGUCGGGCAGCGGCAGCAGAGGGGAUGGGGCCAAUGACGGAGGCGGAGAGGAGAACCCAUCGAUUUGGUGGCGUAAGUGGGAGCUCAUCGAGGCCGGUGCGUUUGGGCAGGUCUACCGCAUGAUUUAUUUGCCCUUAUAGGGAUCAGCAGAUCCCACACCUAUUACAUGAUCUGUCCUUCUAGAAUAGAAUCCGCUCUCUAUCUUCUGAACCGGUACUGCCUUCUUCAAUAUCAGCCACCGGCCGGUCCACCUCUUCAAUAAUCGUCCUUCAUCGCCCUUCAGUUGACCUGAGAUCUAGAAGGACACAACAGGCAAGGUGGAUGUAUUCGUAGUUGAUUAUAUGUUAAAAGCAAAUUUUGGAUGACAUUGGUGGAGAUUGCUUAUCUCUAAGACACAUCUACUCAUUCUUUGAAUGGAAAUCACAUCCACGUUCUAGAAAGUCUAUUUUUACUUCAAAAGUACUCCUUCUGUUCCAAAUAAAUUAGUGUUAGCAUCUCUGCACUCUAUUGCCCACUUCCCCCCUCAUCGGUGUUUUUUAUUGUUGCAUAUCAAUUUUGUGGCUCAAAUGCCCCUUUGAAACAUAUAGCACCAAAAUUAUCCUAAUUAAUUAAUUGGUUUCUAACUGGCUACUCUAUUUGCAACAAUGGGGAUAUAUAACCUUACCAUGUCUGUUUAUCACAGUGCAUCUUAGAUUGCAUCGUAUUGUAAUUGUUUUAGUUCCUUGACAUACUGUUUGUGCAACAGGAACUGCUUGAUGUACUUACGGUUGGGUAUCUGUGUAGCUGUAGCUGCCAAGUUGCCUAAAGAAAAGUUCCCGACCUUUCACAUGCUGCCACAUUGCCACAAUACCUUAAGAGCUUUUCUAUACUUCUAUGAUUUGUGUUUUCGAGAUCUGAGUUAUUUAAAUGUUGUCUGCUAUUUUGAAUUUUUAUAUGAAGAUCAAAGUUCUCAAUUGAUAAAGUAAUUAAUAUAACAAGCGAACAACACAUAGACAAACUAAUUAAUGUAGCAUAUAGACGAAUAAGGAAUCCUGAAACAUUGACCGUGAAGAAAAUUAUUGUGCACAUAUGCACUCUUUCUCCAAAAUUUGGCAUUUAAUCUUAUUGCAACAUACUUGUACAGAGGGGCGAGGGUUGUUCAGUGCUUUGACAUGUGUGCAACUAUUCAAGCACAAUGGUUAGAUGAUAUCCCCAUUCAUUUUAGAUUAUUACAUUGUGGUGUUCGGCUUCUUCAGUCAAGCAGCAAUCAUGCAACAUGCCUUACUGUAGUUUUUUAUCACUGCACAUGUUGCUGGACAAAUUUAUGGACUGGAGGAUUAUAGAGGACUAACAAGUGCUACUGGGAGAUUCUCGAGCACCAUUGAACUAAGAGAUUCCAAAUAGUUCUUUGGAGUCUAUUGUUGAUGUUGGCGGGGAUAAUCUAGCAGAGAUUUGUCAGAUUUUUUGUGCAACACGGAGGCUACAUGAGGCAGCAACGAUCCCAUUCUUCUCGCAUGCCACUUUACACAAGCUAAGGAUAGCUUCUGGUCUCACUCAUGGUUGUGGCAGGGAAAGCCGAGUCAGUAGGGUUUGUCAUGUAGCUGGAGUUAUCUCAGACCACAUAUUAGAUGCAGUGAUGAUGUUAAUGGAGGAUGUUUACAUUUACCGUGCAAGCAAGAUGACUUAUAUUAUGCCUUAGGACAAUAAGUAUUGUUUUCACUCUAAUGAAAUACUUGGUAAAAAGUUGUCUCUGUAGUUGUAUAUUUGACUGUGAAUAUUUGAACCCACUGUUACAAUUGUUGCUAAUUGAGGUCAGAUUUCAGAGGCCAAA